AUGCAGUGUGGAACAUGAUGAACUGAAC
rnacentral:piRNA from 2 species